GAUGAACGCUAGCUACAGGCUUAACACAUGCAAGUCGAGGGGUAACGAGAGGGAAGCUUGCUUUCCUUGUCGACGACCGGCGCACGGGUGAGUAACGCGUAUCCAACCUGCCCCCAACUAGGGAAUAACCUUGCGAAAGUAAGACUAAUACCCUAUAAUUUCCUCAGAUGUCAUCUGACGAGGAAUAAAGAUUUAUCGGUUGUGGAUGGGGAUGCGUCUGAUUAGCUUGUUGGCGGGGUAACGGCCCACCAAGGCAACGAUCAGUAGGGGUUCUGAGAAGAAGGUCCCCCACAUUGAAAAGUAGACACGGUCCAAACUCCUACAGGAGGCAGCAGUGAGGAAUAUUGGUCAAUGGGCGCAAGCCUGAACCAGCCAAGUAGCGUGCAGGAUGACGGCCCUAUGGGUUGUAAACUGCUCUUCUACAGGAAUAAAGUUAGCCACGUGUGGUUAUUUGUAGGUACUGUAUGAAUAAGGACCGGCUAAUUCCGUGCCAGCCGCCGCCGUAA
rnacentral:rRNA from 1 species